GACGAACGCUGGCGGCGUGCCUAAUACAUGCAAGUAGAACGCAGUUGCGAACGGGUGAGUAACGCGUAGGUAACUGCCUCAUAGCGGGGGAUAACUAUUGGAAACGAUAGCUAAUACCGCAUACUGUGAGAUGGACCUGCGUUGUAUUGGCUAGUUGGUGAGGUAAAGUGUCACCAAGGCGACGAUACAGAGCCGACCUGAGAGGGUUAGCGGCCACACUUGGACUGAGUCGGGGCCCAGACCCGUACGGGAGGCAACAGUAGGGAGGCUUCGGCAAUGGGGGGAAGUCUGACCGAGCUACGCCGCGUGACUGCAGAGGGUUUUCGAAGCUUAGAGCUUUGUUGUUAGAGAAGCGGUAACUACCCAGAAAGCGACGGCUAACUACGUGCCAGCCGCCGCGGUAAUAC
rnacentral:rRNA from 1 species